GUAGAUAUAGUUUAACUAAAACACUAGAUUGUGAAUCUAACCAUAGAGACUCACCACCUCUUAUUUACC
rnacentral:tRNA from 8 species